rnacentral:rRNA from 1 species
GAUAAACGCUGGCGGCGUGCCUAAUACAUGCAAGUCGAGCGAACGGACGAGAAGCUUGCUUCUCUGAUGUUAGCGGCGGACGGGUGAGUAACACGUGGAUAACCUACCUAUAAGACUGGGAUAACUUCGGGAAACCGGAGCUAAUACCGGAUAAUAUUUUGAACCGCAUGGUUCAAAAGUGAAAGACGGUCUUGCUGUCACUUAUAGAUGGAUCCGCGCUGCAUUAGCUAGUUGGUAAGGUAACGGCUUACCAAGGCAACGAUGCAUAGCCGACCUGAGAGGGUGAUCGGCCACACUGGAACUGAGACACGGUCCAGACUCCUACGGGAGGCAGCAGUAGGGAAUCUUCCGCAAUGGGCGAAAGCCUGACGGAGCAACGCCGCGUGAGUGAUGAAGGUCUUCGGAUCGUAAAACUCUGUUAUUAGGGAAGAACAUAUGUGUAAGUAACUGUGCACAUCUUGACGGUACCUAAUCAGAAAGCCACGGCUGACUACGUGCCAGCAGCCGCGGUAAUACGUAGGUGGCAAGCGUUAUCCGGAAUUAUUGGGCGUAAAGCGCGCGUAGGCGGUUUUUUAAGUCUGAUGUGAAAGCCCACGGCUCAACCGUGGAGGGUCAUUGGAAACUGGAAAACUUGAGUGCAGAAGAGGAAAGUGGAAUUCCAUGUGUAGCGGUGAAAUGCGCAGAGAUAUGGAGGAACACCAGUGGCGAAGGCGACUUUCUGGUCUGUAACUGACGCUGAUGUGCGAAAGCGUGGGGAUCAAACAGGAUUAGAUACCCUGGUAGUCCACGCCGUAAACGAUGAGUGCUAAGUGUUAGGGGGUUUCCGCCCCUUAGUGCUGCAGCUAACGCAUUAAGCACUCCGCCUGGGGAGUACGACCGCAAGGUUGAAACUCAAAGGAAUUGACGGGGACCCGCACAAGCGGUGGAGCAUGUGGUUUAAUUCGAAGCAACGCGAAGAACCUUACCAAAUCUUGACAUCCUUUGACAACUCUAGAGAUAGAGCCUUCCCCUUCGGGGGACAAAGUGACAGGUGGUGCAUGGUUGUCGUCAGCUCGUGUCGUGAGAUGUUGGGUUAAGUCCCGCAACGAGCGCAACCCUUAAGCUUAGUUGCCAUCAUUAAGUUGGGCACUCUAAGUUGACUGCCGGUGACAAACCGGAGGAAGGUGGGGAUGACGUCAAAUCAUCAUGCCCCUUAUGAUUUGGGCUACACACGUGCUACAAUGGACAAUACAAAGGGCAGCGAAACCGCGAGGUCAAGCAAAUCCCAUAAAGUUGUUCUCAGUUCGGAUUGUAGUCUGCAACUCGACUACAUGAAGCUGGAAUCGCUAGUAAUCGUAGAUCAGCAUGCUACGGUGAAUACGUUCCCGGGUCU